rnacentral:lncRNA from 1 species
CCAGAAUGUCUAUAGAAUAGAUUGAUGCACUACAAUCAUCUUCUUCAACCCAUUUCAACCCACUAGGCUAUCUUCCUUCGUUCCUUACCAAUCACUUUCCACACAAACAGAAGGUGGCUAUGACUGCAUGUGUUAUAUUUCCUAUUACUCCUUUUACCCCCUCCUUCUGCCACCCCUCCAAAGGCAAUUAAGUAUACAUACUGCAAACAAUAGUGCUUUUAACACUGGUCCCCUCAUCCAAGAGGAAAAUUUCACAACUCCCACAUUACCACCUAUGUAAAUAAUCACCACUGAUGGACAGGACCAGACAUGGCUCAGCAUUCCUCAAGUACACUGUCCAUCAUAGCCAAGACUGAUUAUUUUCUAUGGAAGACCGUAACAGCAGAGAACACCACUCCAUCGAGUCCGGGCGGAGAAGAGCAGACCGCAAAGAUGUUUAAACAGAGCACAAAGGAAAAUACAAUGAACUCGGGGAAGAACCAAGGACACGACCACAGCCUCUCUCAGAGGCAACACAAAGCAAAGCAGAGGAAGGGACACAACACCAGGCACCGUCUUGGAGGUGCAAACCGAACAAAGAGCAAGCACCGCCGAGCCCCAAAAGUUGUUGCUGAGUAAGAACUGGAUGCAUCUCCUGCUCCUGCAUCAGGACUGCUGACAUGAACAAGUGGGAGGAAGAUCAAGCUCCGGCAAGGACGGACUUCAGGAGCUGCUUCAUUCUUCUUUCACACGGAUGGGAGUGUCCCAGUGUGCUUUCCUGUCUAAUCAGUCUCAACACAGCCUUGCACAACUCAGCCUGCUUUAAGCUGUUAACCAGGGUGUAGGAGUUCAGAAAAAAAAACACCUCCCUUCCCCCAAGAAAAAUGUAAUUGCAAAGAUUUGUUUCGAUGUAGUAUGUGUAGUAAACUCAAAUCACUGAAAGGCAAC